rnacentral:rRNA from 1 species
UACGUAGGGGGCAAGCGUUGUCCGGAAUCAUUGGGCGUAAAGAGCGUGUAGGCGGCCCGGUAAGUCCGCUGUGAAAGUCCAGGGCUCAACCCUGGGAUGCCGGUGGAUACUGUCGGGCUCGAGUCCGGAAGAGGAGUGUGGAAUUCCUGGUGUAGCGGUGAAAUGCGCAGAUAUCAGGAGGAACACCGAUGGCGAAGGCAGCUCGCUGGGACGGUAUUGACGCUGAGACGCGAAAGCGUGGGGAGCAAACAGG